rnacentral:rRNA from 1 species
AUUGAACGCUGGCGGCAGGCCUAACACAUGCAAGUCGAACGAGUGGCGGACGGGUGAGUAAUGUCUGGGAAACUGCCCGUAGGAGGGGGGUAACUACUGGAAACGGUAUCUAAUCUCGCAUACUAUCGGAUGUGCGCAGAUGGGAUUAGCUAGUAGGUGGGGUAACGGCUCACCUCGGCGCCGAUCCCCAGCUGGUCUGAGAGGAUGACCAGCCACACUGGAACUGAGACACGGUCCAGACUCCUACGGGAGGCAGCAGUGGGGAAUAUUGCACAAUGGGCGCAAGCCUGAUGCAGCCAUGCCGCGUGUAUGAAGAAGGCCUUCGGGUUGUAAAGUACUUUCAGCGAGGAGGCGUUACUCGCAGAAGAAGCACCGGCUAACUCCGUGCCAGCAGCCGCGGUAAUUC